GCAGACUCACUCUGCACCCAGCUGCAGUCCCAGGCGGGUGCUUUUUCAGUCUGCUAAAAAAACAUUCCAGGAGCUGUGGCUGCCUGAAUCUGUCAGGGACAGUGCAGCUGCCUGGGGACACAAGG
ensembl:snoRNA